rnacentral:ribozyme from 1 species
CGGGAUAAUCUCCCGCGCUUUAACACAGCCAAAGAAGGUUCCAAGCCCUUUAGUGAAAUUGUGGAGGAAAGC